AUUGAACGCUGGCGGCAGGCUUAACACAUGCAAGUCGAGCGGGGUGAUGGUGCUUGCACUAUCACUUAGCGGCGGACGGGUGAGUAAUGCUUAGGAAUCUGCCUAUUAGUGGGGGACAACAUCUCGAAAGGGAUGCUAAUACCGCAUCCGACCUACGGGACAAAGCAGGGGCUCACUUGUGACCUUGCGCUAGUAAAUGAGCCUAAGUCGGAUUAGCGAGUUGGUGGGGUAAAGGCCUACCAAGGCGACGAUCUGUAGCGGGUCUGACAGGAUGAUCCGCCACACUGGGACUGAGACACGGCCCAGACUCCUACGGGAGGCAGCAGUGGGGAAUAUUGGACAAUGGGGGGAACCCUGAUCCAGCCAUGCCGCGUGUGUGAAGAAGGCCUUAUGGUUGUAAAGCACUUUAAGCGAGGAGGAGGCUCUUUUGGUUAAUACCCAAGAUGAGUGGACGUUACUCGCAGAAUAAGCACCGGCUAACUCUGUGCCAGCCGCCGCGGUAA
rnacentral:rRNA from 1 species